GCGCCAUUAGCUCAGUUGGUAGAGCAGCAGACUCUUAAUCUGACGGUCGGAGGUUCGACCCCUCUAUGGCGCACCA
rnacentral:tRNA from 3 species